UAUUGCACAAUGGGCGCAAGCCUGAUGCAGCCAUGCCGCGUGUAUGAAGAAGGCCUUCGGGUUGUAAAGUACUUUCAGCGAGGAGGAAGGCGUUAAGGUUAAUAACCUUAGUGAUUGACGUUACUCGCAGAAGAAGCACCGGCUAACUCCGUGCCAGCAGCCGCGGUAAUACGGAGGGUGCAAGCGUUAAUCGGAAUUACUGGGCGUAAAGCGCACGCAGG
rnacentral:rRNA from 1 species